rnacentral:lncRNA from 1 species
CUUCAUGUUGUUCAAUAGACCUCUUAAACUUAUUCCUCCUGUCUAACUGAAAUUUUGUAUCCUGUGACCAACAACCCAAUAUAUAUCACCCAAUAUACUUGAGUUAUAUGUGUGUGUGUGUGUGUGUGUGUGUGUGCGUGUGUGUACAUUUUUUUUUUCAUGGAUCUUCAGAUUUAAAGUCUAGAGAAAAUUACAUGUCAAGGCAUUGGUCAUGGUCUUCCUGCCACUUUCACCUCCCCCACCCAACCUUUUUUUUCCUGGAGACAGGAUCUUGUUAUGUUGCCCAGGUUUGUCUUGAACUCCUAAGCUCAAGGGAUCCUCCCACCUCAGCUUCCCAAGUAGCUUGUUACAGAUGUAUACCACUGCAUCUGGCAAAACUAGUUUUAACCGGCCAACUUUUAAAUGCCUGGAAUCUAUCCACAAUUUUUCACUUUUAUAAAUCAUAUUUUCAAAAGAUAAAGAUAAUUUUAACAUCAAAAUAUAAAAAGAAUUGUUCAAAAACAUAAACAUCCAUUCAUCAGCAUUAUUUAUUUAUUUUUAUUUUUGACACAUAUUUGUACAUAUUUGUGGGGUACAAUAUGAUGUUUCAAUACAUGUAUAUAUUAUAUAAUGAUCAAAUCUAGCUAAUUAGCAUAUCUAACACAUGAAGCAUUUAUCGUUUCUUCAUGGUGAGAACAUAGAAAAUCUUCUGUUUUGAGGUAUACAAUACCUUAUUCCUGACUAUAGUCACGUUGCUGUGGUACAGAACAAACUACUCUUCCUAUCUAAUUAUCACUUUGUACCUGUUGACCACUCUCUCCCCAUAACCCCAAGCUCCUCCCCUCCCCAGUCCCUGGUAAUCACCAUUCUAUUUACUAUUUCCAUAUGAACAACUGUUUUAGAUUCUACAUAUGAGUGAGAACAUGCAGUAUUUGUCUCUCUGUGCCUGGCUUACUUCACUUAGCAUAAUGUCCUCCAGGUUCAUCCAUGUUGUUGCAAAUGACAGGAUUUCAUUCUUUUUUAUGGCUGAAAAGCAUAUCAUUGUGUAUAUACACAUAUUUUCUUCAUCCAGUCAUUCAUUGUUGGACACUUAGGGUUGAUUCCAUAUCUUGGCUAUUGUGAAUAGUACUGCAAUAAACAUGGGAGUGCAGAAAUCUCUUCAACAUACCGAUUUCAUUUCCUUUGGAUACAUACCCAGUAAUGGGAUUGCAGGAUCAUAUGGUAGUACCAUUUUUACUUUUUUGAGGACUCUCCAUACCAUUUUCCAUAAUAGUGGUAUUAAUUUACAUUCCCACCAAUAGUGCACAGAGUUACCUUUUCUCUACAUCCUUGCCAACCCCUUGUUAUCUUUUGUCUUUUUGAUAAUAGCCAUCCUGACAGGCAUGAGGUGAAAUGUUGAACAUUUUUUCCUAUACCUGUUUGGCCAUUUGUAUGUCUUCUUUUGAAAAAUUCAGGUCUUUGCCCAUUUUAAAUUGGAUUAUUUGUUUUCCUGCUAUUGAGUUUUUUGAGUUCCUUUUAUAUUCUGGACAUUAACUCCUUGCCAGGUACAUAGUUUGCAACUGCUCUCUCCCAUUCUGUAGGUUGUCUCUUCACUCCGUGGAUUGUUUACUGUGCAAAAGCUUUUUAGUUUGGUGUAAUCUGGUUUGUCUGUUCUUGCUUUUGUUGCCUAUAUUUUUGGAGUCAUAUCCAAAAAGUUAUUGCUCAGACCAGUGUCAUGGAGCUUUUUAUUUAUGUUUUUUUUCUAAUAGUUUCAUAAUUUUAUGUCUUACUAAAUUUGCCUUUUAAAGAAAAUUUAAAGGCAAUUUCAAAAAUUGUGUUCAAGAAUAAUAGCAUCAUUGAAGUAAAUAUAUGGAUGCCCACAUAUGUUUACUGAAAAAUGAGACUCAAUUCCAUAGUUAUACUUUGUGGGCUCUGAAAGACAUGUUUACCAUUAUCAUCUGGGACAAUGAAAGAUAAGCAUAAUAUACUAUACUUUAGGCUCUAGAUGUGUUUUUAAUGAAACCAAGUCAGUUUACUUAACUAAGCAUGGAAGAAAAUCUCAAACUUAGAACAUGUACAGAAAACCAGAAUCCAAAAAUAUACACUAGCUGAUAAGAUCACAGAUAAUUGAAUACCUUUUCUGUUCUUUUCAUUAUUUUUUUAAACUUUUAUUAUUCAAAAUAUGGCCUACUUAUAGUUAAAACGUUUACAAUGAAACAGAUAUGGACUGACAUAAGGAAAGAGUAAAAAUGAAUAAUGUAAUUUUGGGACACAUUUUUUAAAAAUGUAUAAUCGUUCAUAAAGCAGCCUGAAAAAUGAGGUUCAUGGUAGAUAAACAUCUCAUCGCUUAUUUUUCUGUUCUUCUGUUCCAGAGGUUUACAAGACGACUUUUGUCCUAUAUUUUUUCCUGUGCCUAUGCAGUAUAUAUCAGUAUUCUUCUUAAAAAGUAGGCUGGGCACAGUGGCUCAAACCUGUAAUCCCAGCACUUUAGGAGGCCAAGGCAGGUGGAUGACGAGGUCAGGAGUUCAAGACCAGCCUGGCUAACAUAGUGAAACCUCAUCUCCACUAAAAAUACAAAAAAUUAGCCAUGCAUGGUGGUGGGUGCCUGUAAUUGCAGCUACUUAGGAGGCUGAGACAGGAGAAUCACUUGAACCUGGGAGGCGGAGGUUGAGAUCGUGCCAUUGCACUGCAGCCUGGGUGACAAGAGUGAAACUGUCUCAAAAAAUAAAAAUAAAAAAAGUAAAUCUUACAUGUGAAAAUUUGUGGUUUUCCAUAAUCGUAAAUGAGAAGUAAAUUGUUAACUGAUUUAAACAUGAUUUAGAGAAACCUUAUAGACAUACCAUUUGCUAUGUAUUUACAACUGUGUUUCAAGUAAAGCACAGGGAAAGAGAGAUUUUUUUAAUAGUCUUGAAGUAGAAAAAUCUCUCUUUUUUUUUUUUUGAGAUGGAGUCUCACUCUGUUGCCCAGGCUGGAGUGCAAUGGCUCGAUCUCGGCUCACUGCAAGCUCCACCUCCUGGGUUCAAGCAAUUCUCCUUCCUCAGCCUCCUGAAUAGCUGGGAUUACAGGCACGUGCCACCAUGCCCGGCUAAUUUUUGUAUUUAGUAGAGACGGGGUUUCACCAUGUUGGUCAGGCUGGUCUCGAACUUCUGACCUCAUGAUCCGCCUGCCUCGGCGUCUCCCAAAGCGCUGGGAUUACAGGCGUGAGCCACUGCGCCCAGCCGAAAAGAGAAAACACUUAAUUCUACCUUGCUGAAUUUAAUAUUAGCUUGGGUUUAUGCUAUGAUAAAGUAUAAUUUAGUAUAAUAGCUGGCAAAUCCUGCUUUCCCAUUCUACCUCUGAUAUCGCAUAGAAAUUUCAACCCUUGUAGCUAAUUGGAAAAUACUGGAAGUCCCUUAGGUAUUCCACUGCAGUAGUAUCAUAAGCCUAGAAAAUCUGGAACAAUUCUGUGAGGGUUUAGAAAAAGGGACAUUGAAUUCAGUCUCUAGCAGUAUGGUAGAUGAGACUCAAUGAACAAUCUUGUCACAAACCAAGGACAUCAUCUGAAAAAAUGUUUUAAGUCUUUUGAAAUGAUCUGUCAAGAAAACAGGGAAUCAUCAGACACCAAAACCAAAGUGUAAGUAGCAGAGGUCAGUAAGCACUCAAGGUGGCCCCACCCUGGAGGUUUCUACCAAACCUCAGGGAACUUUUUUUUUAAUUAUUAUUAUACUUUAAGUUUUAGGGUACAUGUGCACGACGUCCAGGUUUGAUACAUAUGUAUACAUGUGCCAUGUUGGUGUGCAGCACCCAUUAACUCGUCAUUUAACAUUAGGUAUAUCUCCUAUUGCUAUCCCUCCCUCCUACCCCCACCCCACAACAGGCCCCGGUGUGUGAUAUUCCCCUUCCUGUGUCCAUGUGUUCUCAUUGUUCAAUUCCCACCUAUGAGUGAGAAUAUGCGGUGUUUGGUUUUUUGUCCUUGCAAUAGUUUGCUGAGAAUGAUGGUUUCCAGCUUCAUCCACGUCCCUACAAAGGACAUGAACUCAUCAUUUUUUAUGACUGCAUAGUAUUCCAUGGUGUGUAUGUGCCACAUUUUCUUAAUCCAGUCUAUCAUUGUUGGACAUUUGGCUUGGUUCCAAGUCUUUGCUAUUGUGAAUAGUGCCUCAAUAAACGUACGUGUGCAUGUGUCUUUAUAGCAGCAUGUUUUAUAAUCUUUUGGGUAUAUACCAGUAAUGGGAUGGCUGGGUCAAAUGGUAUUUCUAGUUCUAGAUCCACCUCAGGGAAUUUGAGAUUGAUUUUGAGAGCGCUGUGAGCACAGGAG